AAUCCGAAUUUUGUAACCAUUGUGUUCAUCUUGUUCAUCUUAUAUUGUGGUUGUUUUAGUGUUGAAAACACACCUCUUUAUCUGUUAUUGUGUUGUUGAUAGCGAAUCUGAGAGUGGUCUUAAAAAGGGUCCUCAAAUCCUUAAGAUCAGUGGACUGUUUUGGAGUUGUUUUGUGUUCUCUUGUCUUUCCCGUAUCAGGGAGCCUAAUCC
rnacentral:lncRNA from 1 species